rnacentral:rRNA from 1 species
GAUGAACGCUGGCGGCGUGCCUAAUACAUGCAAGUCGAGCGAACGGACGAGAAGCUUGCUUCUCUGAUGUUAGCGGCGGACGGGUGAGUAACACGUGGAUAACCUACCUAUAAGACUGGGAUAACUUCGGGAAACCGGAGCUAAUACCGGAUGAUAUUUUGAACCGCAUGGUUCAAAAGUGAAAGACGGUCUUGCCGUCACUUAUAGAUGGAUCCGCGCUGCAUUAGCUAGUUGGUAAGGUAACGGCUUACCAAGGCAACGAUGCAUAGCCGACCUGAGAGGGUGAUCGGCCACACUGGAACUGAGAAACGGUCCAGACUCCUACGGGAGGCAGCAGUAGGGAAUCUUCAGCAAUGGGCGAAAGCCUGACGGAGCAACGCCGCGUGAGUGAUGAAGGUCUUCGGAUCGUAAAACUCUGUUAUUAGGGAAGAACAUAUGUGUAAGUAACUGUGCACAUCUUGACGGUACCUAAUCAGAAAGCCACGGCUAACUACGUG